UGUAAAUCUACAAUCCGUCCAUCCAGACGUUUCAAGACUCGUUCUGUGUGGGUUGCAAUAGUUAGUUUGAAAUAAUACUGGAUGGAGUAUUAUUUAUGUACUUUUUUCCAUUGUGUAACGUUCUUUUUUAUUUUUUACUGACUUUUUUCAACUUUUCUAAGAAAAGAUCUGUUUCUAAAGAUCAUAUUAUAAAAAAUAAUUUAUAGAAUAACUAUGAUUGGAAAGAAUGAAGAAAGGAAAUAAAGAUUCAAGAGAAGAUGCAUUUCUAGAACUCCUUUUAGUAGAAUUAAUAUAGAAAGAGUAAAACUGCUGUAAUGAUUGAAAUGGAUGGAAGAAGAUAAUGUAGAUGUAAGAGAAGAUCUAUUUCUGUAUAGGCCUACUUUUACAGGGAUUACUUCCUGAAUGUAUGAAUCAACCCCAAUGACCUUUACUUUAUUCACAUACCGGUAAAUCUACUGUAGUCAUUCAUAAGUCUCGAACUUGACCUCACAUGACGGUCGUUAGUGAUAACGUGUAGCAAGUGCGUCGCUUUGAUUAGACGAGCGUGCGUAACACGAGUGAACAUGCUCUCAUCGGUGAUUAAGUGGCAACUUGAUAACACGCGUUCCUUUCGAUCGAACGCACGCGAUCAUAUUUAAAGACGCGCAGCUUGUGUUUGCAUAAUUAUGAUCGUCUGACAUGCAUCACAAUUUAAAUACAUACGUAGAUGAAUGUGUUUCUUACUUUUCUUUUAUUCCAUUAAUUAUAUCU
rnacentral:lncRNA from 1 species